rnacentral:misc_RNA from 1 species
AUCAAAUAACAAAGAAAUGGAAGAAUCUGCACCUAUUUAAUGUCUAUAAACCCAGAACUUCAACUUUAUAUUAAAAUUCAACACAAUGAAAAUCUAAAAAAAAAUUAUGAACUCCUCAAUUCUUGAAUUACCUUCAAGAACAAACCCAGAAAACAGAAUUCUACCAUAUGCGAUUAAAACAGAAACUUCUGCAAUUUGCAUAUGCAUUACAAAA